rnacentral:rRNA from 1 species
AUUGAACGCUGGCGGCAUGCUUUACACAUGCAAGUCGAACGGUAACAGGCCGCAAGGUGCUGACGAGUGGCGAACGGGUGAGUAAUGCAUCGGAACGUGCCCAGUCGUGGGGGAUAACGCAGCGAAAGCUGUGCUAAUACCGCAUACGAUCUAUGGAUGAAAGCGGGGGACCGUAAGGCCUCGCGCGAUUGGAGCGGCCGAUGUCAGAUUAGGUAGUUGGUGGGGUAAAGGCCUACCAAGCCGACGAUCUGUAGCUGGUCUGAGAGGACGACCAGCCACACUGGGACUGAGACACGGCCCAGACUCCUACGGGAGGCAGCAGUGGGGAAUUUGGGACAAUGGGCGCAAGCCUGAUCCAGCAAUGCCGCGUGCAGGAAGAAGGCCUUCGGGUUGUAAACUGCUUUUGUACGGAACGAAACGGCCUGGGUUAAUACCCUGGGCUAAUGACGGUACCGUAAGAAUAAGCACCGGCUAACUACGUGCCAGCAGCCGCCGUAACAC